AGCGCUUUCUGGAGGGAGGAGGGGGCUCCACCCGCGCCCUGAUCCCCUUCGGAGGCGGAGCGCGACUCUGUCUGGGGGAGACUGUGGCUAAGAUGGAGCUCUUUCUCUUCACUGCAUACCUGCUGAGAGAUUUUUGCUUUGUCCUUCCCGACAGUGAAGCACCUCUGCCCGACCUGAGGGGGGUGGCUAGCGUCGUGCUUAAAAUCAAGUCCUUUACAGUCAUAGCACGUCCCCGGACUGGGCCUUAAUCUUGUUGGACAUUAUGUGUGCAGAUAAACAAGGUUACAAUGUAAAUAACAUUGGAAAUAAAAAAAGUAUACAUCUUAUCCAAAUCUCGAAUGGUUUCUUUGCAGACGCGCAUGCGUUUUGUGUGGCUAAAGUGUUUUUCAAAUGAUUGAAAUGCAAAAAUUGCAGUGUACCACUCGUGCACUGAGAAAAAGAGUUGCAUCACUCUCAUUUCCUGAAAAAGUGUUUUGCAAAUGCUGCUGCAGUGGGCUUGGAAGAGGAUGUAGCAAUCAAUGCCAAAAUGAAGAUGGCUUCAGGGAGGAGGACGACGACUUCUCUGUCUUUACCGCUACUCUGUCUUCUUUCUUUGACACGGGCAGGAUUACAAAAAUCAGAUCAGGUUGUGUUAAGGGGAGAUGACGUGACCUUGCCGUGCGGAGUUCCAACCGUUAACACCUGCUCCUCUGUCAGCUGGAACGUGAUUGGGGAGUUUGGGUCCGUAUCUGCAGUGGUGAACGCUGGAACGGUGAUGGAUCCAUACAUGCCCAGAUUUAGACUCCUAAAGGACUGCUCCCUGAAGAUUAAUGAUCUGAUUUUGACCGAUGCACGCACAUAUUUAUGCCACAGCAACGGAAUUCAUUCAAAUGUUUCGCUUUAUAUUAUUGAAAUUACAGAGAGCUCCCGUCCAGCAGAUGGCACCAUAGAGCUUCAAUGUUUCCUAAACACCUAUCAGGGCUACAGACGCUGUAUUAACAGAGGUUUUCAUGUGGAGUGGAGAUCUGAACAUGAUACGCUGUCAAGCGGGAAAAGAUUUCACAUAGAAAAUCCCUCUGAGUGCUUCUCAAAACUGCUCAUCAACACUAAACCGACUGACCAUCGCAGAAAAUGGAAAUGCUGCAUGUACCAGAACGGGACGCUGAAAGCCUCCAUCACUCAUACAACAACAGUGAGAGAUGGUAUUGAGAAAGUGUUUGCCUCAGUGGGUGAGUCAGUGUCACUCUCCUGUCACAACACUUCCUCUCUUGGCAUGGGUGGGAGCGUGGAGUGGGACCUGGGCGGGGAGGCGCUGAGCAGAGGCUCCUCGUCCCUGAUCAUUGCAAAGGUCGGCACCGUCCAUGCUGGGGAGUACCGGUGUCUCGACUCCGCUGAUCGGCAGAGGGUCUUUAACAGAAUUAGCCUGCAAACCCUGGAGGUUAGAGCCGAGUCAGGGGGGGGGCACCUCGCCUUGACCUGCGUGCUCACCUGUGCCGGAGAGUGCAAGGGAGACUCCAGUUUGGCCUGGAGGGGAGGCGGGGCAGACGGCUGGCAGAACGCAUCAGUGAGUGUUAACAGGACCCUGAGGAACCGACUGGUUCUGCCCGUUUCAUCGGCAGCAGCGGAUCAUCUAACCUGCCUGGUGCUCAGCGAUGGCGUCGUGAUGGCCUCGACGAAGUGGCGCGCCAUUAACUCCCCGUGGUCGCCCGCGUGGCUUCUUCUUCCCCUCACUCUGCUCACGGUUCCCGCUGCUGUAGGAAUCUACGUGCACUGGAGGCGACAGCAGGACGCAGAAUCCGGUGACGCACAGUUGAAUCUCGGACUGGUUCACAUUUAUGAAGUUUGUCAGGAUCAAAAUGAGUCACCGGAACCACCAACACAAGAGGCCGCUGAGAGUUUUUAUCAUUUAUUGCAGCCUGUCAACUAGAAUUCAAACCAUAACUGUAGUUUGUUUUGCUGUUUUUCCACCAAAGUUCAAGAGGAAAAUUCACAGAAUUCUUUGAAGAGCAAUUCAAAAGGUAUAAGCCAGGGUUUUUUUUUUUUGGGGGGGGGGGGGGGGGGGGGGGGGUCCAGCUCAGGAGGGAAACCUUUUCAGUAACUGAAAGAAUUAAUGCCAACCUGCAAAAGAGGAAGAAAACAACAUUACACCUCUUGUGACGUGAACCCAAAUGUGAUGUUUUUACAGUAUUUUAAUAAAGAUACUUGAGGAGCCUCUUGAUAUAUGCUGCUGUGUUUGUAGACUGUGUAGUCUGCAAGAUUAAAAAAUGAAAUGAAAGCGGAUCAUAAAAAGAGCGGAACAUUGGCAGCAGAGUGGGCUGCGGCGCUCUGCUCACCCGCGUUCUCGUACUCGUCGUAUGAGCUGGUGUGGGCACCUGUGCGGAGAGAGCGCACAGUAACGCUGCUGUUGCCGCACGACUGCGUGAGUGAAGCCUUCAGACCUGCUUCGAAGGCCUGAGCUCCUGGUGCCGCUGCGUGACUCUUGCGUCUGCGGUACAUGAAAAAUCCAGCCGCUGCGGCAGCCAUGGCGACCACGAUGGCGGUCAGAGCGGCAGCCAAAGGUUUGAUGCUCUGCUGCACCUCCUUCACCUCCUCAUCCUCCUGCUCCCUGGAUUCCAUCACAGGCGUUGAGGAGAGCUCUGAAUCUGAUGCACGAUCAUAGUGAUAAUAUGUUUUGUUAUUCGUUAGGCCUUGAAAUAAAGAGAUCUGACCUUCGUAAUGGCUCAGCACUUGACCUUGGACCUGCAGAUUAAUGUCAUAGCAGCGGUGACCGUCUCCCAGCGUGUAGUUGCAUCUAUACCAGCUUGCAUCCUUCCCAACAACAGACCUGAAGGACAGCGACAUCCCGUUGACUUCGGCCCGUUCUGAUGCGAUUGGUAAAGGUUUGGCUACUUUCAGCAUCACCCAGGAGACGUUUAUGGGUCCUGGCAGGGUCGCCAUCUUGUCGUCCAGCGGGCAGGUCAGGUUGGCGGAGGCGCCCUUCACCGCCCUCACAGCCGGCAGGCCUCUGCACUCUGGAAGGGGAGCGUUUCUUUUCAAGGCGCAUGGUUUAUCCACAAAGGAGUGUUGAGGGUUGCAGUAAAUCUGACCUUUGAAUGUUAAAGACGUGUUUCGGACGUUAACACGUUCCCAGCCUCGCCAGAUUUCACAGCUGUAAAGCCCCGUGUCUGAUGGUUGCACCCUGGUCAGCCAAAGAGAAAGGUUUCUCUUUCCAUCAGGCCUCCAUUCCACUCGUUCAGCAUCAGGGAAGUUGAGCGUUUUAGGCUUGGAAAGGAGGAUUUGCCUGGCGUGUUUAGAAUAUUUAACCCAUCUGACUCUGUGGCAGUUCUCUAGAUUCACCUCAGAAUCAGCGCAGUGAAGAACCGUGUCUCUGUCUAAGACUGCAAUCACUGCGACAUGAAGCAAGAAAAACAUAAGAGAGGACAGUCGGCAUAGAAGGAGGUGGUGAAGAGAAAAACGGACCUAUUGACUCACCGGUAUCCUGCGAUUUGGCCACCAGCACCAUAAGCCCCAGAACAAACAGAGGAAAACAUUCCAUUGUCUCUCCAACUAAAAGGAACCUAAACACGACCCAACUGUGUGCAGUUUCAUUUAUAUGCAGCUCUUUUUUUAGCUCACUCCACGGCCGCAUGAACCUGCCUUUUAACCACAGGGCAGCAAAGCACUUCCCUUUGGCCAGUAGAGAUCUCGAGCUGUCACAGCAGCACAGGUGAGGUAGUCAUGUAGCACACUACAGGCCCCUUAGCCAAUAAGGUGCACUUUUUUAUAUUUUCAGUGUAAAUGCACUUUUUUCUGUUCAGUGUAAAUAUGUAAUUCCCCCUCUGGGUAAUUACGUUGUCCUCGUGCGUGUUGCAGCCUACAGAGGAACCAGAAUAGAG
rnacentral:lncRNA from 1 species